rnacentral:rRNA from 1 species
CUCAGGAUGAACGCUGGCGGCGUGCCUAAUACAUGCAAGUCGAACGAGGUGCUUUUGUAGCAAUACGAGAGUAUCCUAGUGGCGAACGGGUGAGUAACGCGUUGGUGACCUACCCCAAAGUGUGGGAUAACAGUCCGAAAGGAUUGCUAAUACCGCAUGUGGUCUUCGGAUUUAGAAACUGAUGACUAAAGGAGCAAUUCGCUUUGGGAGGGACCUGCGUCCCAUCAGCUAGUUGGUGAGGUAAUGGCUCACCAAGGCUACGACGGGUAGGGACCUGAGAGGGUGACCCCCACAAUGGAACUGAAACACGGUCCAUACACCUACGGGUGGCAGCAGUAGGGAAUAUUGCACAAUGGGCGAAAGCCUGAUGCAGCAACGCCGCGUGUGCGAUGAAGGCCUUCGGGUCGUAAAGCACUUUCUGGGAGAUGAGCAAGGACAGUAUCUCAGGAAUAAGUCUCGGCUAACUACGUG